rnacentral:tRNA from 1 species
GAGGGUGUAGCUCAAGUGGUAGAGCGCUUGCUUAGCAUGCAUGAGGUCCUGAGUUCAAUCCCCAGUACCUCCU